GCAGCAGAGCAGCUUCAUCGGUAGUGAACAUAAACAAUGUGAACGUGUUUGGGUGUAUUAAUGUUAUUGUUUGCGUUUAUACAAAAAUUAUUACGUCAAGAUUGAUUUUUUGUAUAUGAAUGACUGACGAGGCGGAAAAUAGUCUUUAGAAUACAAGAUCCACCGAAAUUAGAAGAAAAAUCACGAGUAGCCUACUACCCGGCAUUGUGAUAACUUGCGUUGCUGCCAAUUCACUUCUCCCGAUUGUCAUAAAAUGUUUUGUAAAAAGUGUAGAUAAUCUUUUGGAUAUGUAAGCGAAGGCGAUGCCGUCAAAUUGAGCAGCAUAACGAGCACAAGUCUACUGAAGACCUAUGAGUAACAUCCUUGGCAAAAGUAAGGAGACGGUUUUCUGCCGACGUAGUGUUGCACUUACUGGUAUUCAGGCGGAUCUUCGUAGGCAGGUAAG